rnacentral:rRNA from 1 species
AAAUGAAUAGACGGGGGCCCGCACAAGCAGCGGAGCAUGUGGUUUAAUUCGACGCAACGCGAAGAACCUUACCAGGUCUUGACAUCCAGUUAAAGCAGUAGAAAUACUGUGUCCCUUCGGGGGAACUGAGACAGGUGGUGCAUGGUUGUCGUCAGCUCGUGUCGUGAGAUGUUGGGUUAAGUCCCGCAACGAGCGCAACCCUUGUGAAUAGUUACUAACGCGUAAAGGCGAGGACUCUAUUGAGACUGCCGUGGACAACACGGAGGAAGGUGGGGACGACGUCAAAUCAUCAUGCCCCUUAUGAUCUGGGCUACACACGUGCUACAAUGGCCGACACAGAGAGGAGCGAAAGCGUGAGCUGGAGCGGAUCUCAAAAAAGCGGUCGAAGUUCGGAUUGUGGGCUGCAACCCGCCCACAUGAAGUCGGAGUUGCUAGUAAUCGCGGAUCAGCAUGCCGCGGUGAAUACGUUCCCGGGCCUUGUACACACCGCCCGU